GACGAACGCUGGCGGCGUGCCUAAUACAUGCAAGUAGAACGCUGAAGGAGGAGCUUGCUUCUCUGGAUGAGUUGCGAACGGGUGAGUAACGCGUAGGUAACCUGCCUGGUAGCGGGGGAUAACUAUUGGAAACGAUAGCUAAUACCGCAUAAUAGUAGAUGUUGCAUGACAUUUGCUUAAAAGGUGCAAUUGCAUCACUACCAGAUGGACCUGCGUUGUAUUAGCUAGUUGGUGGGGUAACGGCUCACCAAGGCGACGAUACAUAGCCGACCUGAGAGGGUGAUCGGCCACACUGGGACUGAGACACGGCCCAGACUCCUACGGGAGGCAGCAGUAGGGAAUCUUCGGCAAUGGACGGAAGUCUGACCGAGCAACGCCGCGUGAGUGAAGAAGGUUGUCGGAUCGUAAAGCUCGGUUGUAAGAGAAGAACGAGUGUGAGAGUGGAAAGUUCACACUGUGACGGUAUCUUACCAGAAAGAGACGGCUAACUACGUG
rnacentral:rRNA from 1 species